rnacentral:rRNA from 1 species
GGCACUCUAGUAAGACUGCCGGUGACAAACCGGAGGAAGGUGGGGAUGACGUCAAAUCAUCAUGCCCCUUAUGACCUGGGCUACACACGUGCUACAAUGGAUGGUACAACGAGUUGCGAGACCGCGAGGUCAAGCUAAUCUCUUAAAGCCAUUCUCAGUUCGGACUGUAGGCUGCAACUCGCCUACACGAAGUCGGAAUCGCUAGUAAUCGCGGAUCAGCACGCCGCGGUGAAUACGUUCCCGGGCCUUGUACACACCGCCCGUCACACCAUGAGAGUUUGUAACACCCGAAGCCGGUGGCGUAACCCUUUUAGGGAGCGAGCCGUCUAAGGUGGGACAAAUGAUUAGGGUGAAGUCGUAACAAGGUAGCCGUAGGAGAACCUGCGGCUGGAUCACCUCCUUU